rnacentral:rRNA from 1 species
UNUGACUUGAGUGCAGAAGGGGAGAGUGGAAUUCCAUGUGUAGCGGUGAAAUGCGUAGAUAUAUGGAGGAACACCAGUGGCGAAAGCGGCUCUCUGGUCUGUCACUGACGCUGAGGCUCGAAAGCGCGGGUAGCGAACAGGAUUAGAUACCCUGGUAGUNCACGCCGUAAACGAUGAGUGUUAGGUGUUAGGCCCUUUCCGGGGCUUAGUGCCGGAGCUAACGCAAUAAGCACUCCGCCUGGGGAGUACGACCGCAAGGUUGAAACUCAAAGGAAUUGACGGGGGCCCGCACAAGCGGUGGAGCAUGUGGUUUAAUUCGAAGCAACGCGAAGAACCUUACCAGGUCUUGACAUCCCGAUGCUAUUCUUAGAGAUAGGAAGUUACUUCGGUACAUCGGAGACAGGUGGUGCAUGGUUGUCGUCAGCUCGUGUCGUGAGAUGUUGGGUUAAGUCCCGCAACGAGCGCAACCCUUAUUGUUAGUUGCCAUCAUUAAGUUGGGCACUCUAGCGAGACUGCCGGUAAUAAACCGGAGGAAGGUGGGGAUGACGUCAAAUCAUCAUGCCCCUUAUGACCUGGGCUACACACGUGCUACAAUGGUCGGUACAACGAGUUGCGAGCCGGUGACGGCAAGCUAAUCUCUGAAAGCCGAUCUCAGUUCGGAUUGGAGGCUGCAACUCGCCUCCAUGAAGUCGGAAUCGCUAGUAAUCGCGGAUCAGCACGCCGCGGUGAAUACGUUCCCGGGCCUUGUACACACCGCCCGUCACACCACGAGAGUUUGUAGCACCCGAAGUCGGUGAGGUAACCUUUUAGGGGCCAGCCGCC